rnacentral:rRNA from 1 species
GUGGGGAAUAUUGGACAAUGGGGGGAACCCUGAUCCAGCCAUGCCGCGUGUGUGAAGAAGGCCUUUUGGUUGUAAAGCACUUUAAGCGAGGAGGAGGCUACCGAGAUUAAUACUCUUGGAUAGUGGACGUUACUCGCAGAAUAAGCACCGGCUAACUCUGUGCCAGCAGCCGCGGUAAUACAGAGGGUGCAAGCGUUAAUCGGAUUUACUGGGCGUAAAGCGCACGUAGGUGGCCAAUUAAGUCAAAUGUGAAAUCCCCGAGCUUAACUUGGGAAUUGCAUUCGAUACUGGUUGGCUAGAGUAUGGGAGAGGAUGGUAGAAUGCCAGGUGUAGCGGUGAAAUGCGUAGAGAUCUGGAGGAAUACCGAUGGCGAAGGCAGCCAUCUGGCCUAAUACUGACACUGAGGUGCGAAAGCAUGGGGAGCAAACAGGAUUAGAUACCCGUGUAGUCC